rnacentral:rRNA from 1 species
AGUAAAAGUCGUAACAAGGUUUCCGUAGGUGAACCUGCGGAAGGAUCAUUAACGAUUGCUAUAAAUGCAAAGACAAAAACUCACUGCAUUGAACGAUCAAACUCCUGACGAGUUCAGGAAGGAUGGUGCCUCUCACGGCCAUCGUGGUCGUGUCGCUCUGCGCUGCGAACGAUGUAAAACAAACAACCGAUGGCCCCUCAUACAGUAUAAUAUCUCUCGCCAUGGUAUACAAGCCUGGCAUCUGGUACGAGUCUCUCGCAGUCUCAAAACCAACCUUACAACUCUGAGCGGUGGAUCACUUGGCUUGUGGAUGCUAUGAAGACCAUAGCUAAGUGUGAGAAUAGCAGCGAGCCGUCGCUAUAUACGCUGUCCCCUUCUUAUCACAUGUCGAAUGCACAUUGCGCCCCACCCAGUGGUCAGGCUAAACAACCUGCAGACAAAAGCCUGCUAGUUGGAACAAUGCUUAUGUGAAUGCCGUUUCGACGCGGAAUGGGACCAGGAGCGCAUAAGUGUGAGUACCAACUACUCGUGAGUAGUCAGGCUAGACCCUAUGGUGGGGCACUCCUAGUCGAGUGUGGUGGAUCGGACUCACAUCUCUUGUUGCGCGUUCGCGCGUGAUGGAGUUUGAGUUUCUUUGUUGCUGGUGGCAUUUGGGUCGACAUCAGUCGUGCCCGUAAACAACUGCCUUGGCUCGUGCCUCUGUCCGUAUACCUCCUGGAAGGAGCGUACAUUGAAGGCCAUAGCUGGCGAUCACUCUUGCGGCCAGGGCACUACUUCGGUAGUGCGCACAGGUCCAAAAGGAAUUGUUAAUACGAGAAUCAGGUCUCAAUACUCUGGCCGGCUUCUUUCUGCACACAAUCUGUGGAGUGGUGAUCACAUGGUUAUCGAGAGAAUUGCAUAACCGUCUUUCUGGCAAGGCCCCGUCCGAGCCCCACCACUUUUGUAUGCACACACAUAUCAGACAGUGCCUUCUCUGACGAGAUCAGGAAGGAUGGUCUGAAAGAGUGUGUGUGUGUCAAAAGUAACAGAUUGGCCGGCAAUCUCGCAUCACAUCCGUAUGAGGAGUGGUGAUCAUGUGGUUAUUGAGGAAGCUACAUAACCGUUGCUCUGGUAAACGCUCUUGUUUCUCGUAGUAUUCGAGUAUGACACGAGGUUUACCACUUUUGCUCGCACACAUGUGUGACUGGCUUUGCUGGCACACAUGAGGACAAGGAAUGACCGAACGCCUGACGAGAUCAGGAAAAGGUGCGUCAGAAGUAACCGAGCGGCCGAGUCUCACAUCACUCCGCUUAUUGUACUGGUUGGUUGUGUGUCGUGGUGAUCAUCUGKKYAUCGAGAGAAUUGCAUAACCGUCUUUCUGGCAAGGCCCCGUCCGAGCCCCACCACUUUUGUAUGCACACACAUAUCAGACAGUGCCUUCUCUGACGAGAUCAGGAAGGAUGGUCUGAAAGAGUGUGUGUGUGUCAAAAGUAACAGAUUGGCCGGCAAUCUCGCAUCACAUCCGUAUGAGGAGUGGUGAUCAUGUGGUUAUUGAGGAAGCUACAUAACCGUUGCUCUGGUAAACGCUCUUCUUGUUUCUCGUAGUAUUCGAGUAUGACACGAGCUUUACCACUUUUGCUCGCGCACAUGUGUGACUGGCUUUGCUGGCACACAUGAGGACAAGGAACGACCGAACGCCUGACGAGAUCAGGAAAAGGUGCGUCAAAAGUAACAGAGCGGCCGAGUCUCACGCCACUGAACACGUUCACGUUGUACUUCCCGUGUGGAAAGGAUACUGACCAAUGAGAGAGACCUGAUUUCUUGUGUGUUUGUAAUUGCCACCACCUCGACUUAGGAGAGGUUACCCGCUGAACUUAAGCAUAUCAGUAAGCGGAGGAAAAGAAACCAAUCAGGGAUUCCCUUAGUAGGGGCGACCGAACAGGGAUGAGCCCAGCGCAGAACCUCCCGGGCCACCCGGCCUGCGGCGGAAUGUUGCGUUAAGGGAAAGGUCGUAGUCAAACCCCACAGCCACGCGAGCUCUAAGUAAGUCACGAAUUGGCUAUCCCAACUAACGGCGGGAAAAUCUCCACGGAGGGUGUAAGACCCGUGUGGGCGCGUGUAAAUGCUGUGUGGGCUCGGCCUCUUUUCCCUGAGAGUCGCGUUGCUUGAGCAUGCAGCGCUAAGCAGGUCGUAAACUCGAUCUAAGGCUAAAUAUGUCCACAAGACCGAUAGCGAACAAGUACCGUGAGGGAAAGUUGAAAAGCACUCUGAAGAGAG